GAUGAACGCUGGCGGCGUGCUUAACACAUGCAAGUCGAACGAGAAGUGAAGACGGAAACCUUCGGGCGGAAGGCUUUAUUUCGAGUGGCGGACGGGUGAGUAACGCGUGGGUAACCUGCCUCAUACAGGGGGAUAACAGUUGGAAACGACUGUUAAUACCGCAUAAGACCACAGCACCGCAUGGUGCGGGGGUAAAAACUCCGGUGGUAUGAGAUGGACCCGCGUUCGAUUAGCCAGUUGGCGGGGUAACGGCCCACCAAAGCGACGAUCGAUAGCCGACCUGAGAGGGUGAUCGGCCAGCCUGGAAGUGAGACACGGCCCAGACUCCUACGGGAGGCAGCAGUAGGGAAUCUUCCGCAAUGGGCGAGAGCGUGACGGAGCAACGCCGCGUGAGUGAUGAAGGUCUUCGGAUGGGAAAACUCUGUUAUUAGGGAGGAACAAAUGUGUAAGUAGCUGUGCACAUCUUGACGGUACCUGAUCAGAAAGCCACGGCUAACUACGUG
rnacentral:rRNA from 1 species